rnacentral:rRNA from 1 species
AUUGAACGCUGGCGGCAGGCCUAACACAUGCAAGUCGAGCGGAUGAAGGGAGCUUGCUCCUGGAUUCAGCGGCGGACGGGUGAGUAAUGCCUAGGAAUCUGCCUGGUAGUGGGGGAUAACGUCCGGAAACGGGCGCUAAUACCGCAUACGUCCUGAGGGAGAAAGUGGGGGAUCUUCGGACCUCACGCUAUCAGAUGAGCCUAGGUCGGAUUAGCUAGUUGGUGGGGUAAAGGCCUACCAAGGCGACGAUCCGUAACUGGUCUGAGAGGAUGAACAGUCACACUGGAACUGAGACACGGUCCAGACUCCUACGGGAGGCAGCGGUGGGGAAUAUUGGACGAUGGGCGAAAGCCUGAUCCAGCCAUGCCGCGUGUGUGAAGAAGGUCUUCGGAUUGUAAAGCACUUUAAGUGGGGAGGAAGGGCAGUAAGUUAAUACCUUGCUGUUUUGACGUUACCAACAGAAUAAGCACCGGCUAACUUCGUG